rnacentral:misc_RNA from 1 species
CACCACACCAGACGGGUAUCAUAUUGUAUACAUCUUAUAUAUAACCAGGAUUUGAGCGUAAACCACCACGCUGUUCGACUGCAGGCUGUGGAUAAUUUCUCUACUAUGAAUGAAACAAGAAGACAAGAAGACAAGGGAAAAAUAUUAGUAAAAAAACAAAUCAGUUAUAUGUAAUAAUAAUAAUCAUAUAUAUACAGUUAAUAUG